UUUGAUUCUAUUUGUGCACACGGG
rnacentral:piRNA from 1 species